UUCGUCGCUCCUUGAGGAUUGCUUCCCAUUUACCCUCUAAGUCCUAAAAUCCUAUCGCCGUAUCGGCCCACGGCUGGGGUGGAGUUGCCCCGGCAGGCUCGACCCUGUUGGUUUUGCUAGCGGAUGUUGCCUCCGUUCUGGAUCUGGGAGACUCUGUAAAGACUGAAAGCUGAGCUGUCCCGAUGGGGGCCCGAAAGUGGACUUUUUCGCUCGCAAAUGGGUCCGGGAGUACAAUGAGAGAGGAGUAUGUGUGCUGGCUGGGAGCCUUGCAGCCAGAGAGUACCAGCUCUGACCUUGGGCGGUGACCUUUCCCAGACUCAGUUUCUUCAUUACGGAGAGGGGUGAAGGAGGCAAUGGACGGAAGCCCUUUGCGCGGUGCCUGCACAGGCAAACGCUCAAUUUGAGUUCUUGCUGUUGUGACAAGUGUGCAGGUCAAUGCGCAACUGCUGAGCCACACAGGCCAGGCUGGAUUUGUCCGGGCCUUAACAACAGCAUUGGACUGAAGCAGAUAAAUUGAGAGCUUAUAUCCUGUCGCAUGUCUGGUGAAAUUCAAGUUCAUUCUUCAUUGUCACCACUCAAAAUCAAGUGGAGGCUUUGUUUUGGUUUUCUUAUCAAAGACCAAUUCCAAGUUGCCCCUCCCCACACAUUCAGUUCCCCUGUGUCUCAGCUCAGAUGUAUCACUUCAGCACGAGGGAAUGUUGGAAUAAAAACUUCAGCCUCCAAGUGCAGCAUGACACAGACUAGAAUACUGACCAUUUCCCCAGGUCAUCAUUCUCCUUGCAGAUCCUCUACUAGAGCCUGACCCCUGGGACAGAAGAGUUCUGCAGUCAGUCUUCCUCAUUCCACUCGGACAUACCCUGCCUAGGUCAACGGUGCCCUGAUUUCCAUCCCGCGACCUCACUGCCAAGCCUUAUCUGCCCUGAUCCGUGCCUGCUUGCUAGAAAAGUUCUUUUCUGUUUGAACUUUUGUGUUCAAACUGUGCUGACUUUAAUCACCUCACUCCCAAAACAACCAAGUUGGAAAUUCUGGUUUCUAGAUUUUUCUUUGGCUUGUGGAAAGACCAGGUGUUUGGAUUUUGUGCACCACACAAAAGCACACCCCUGAAAGGGUAGGGGAGGCUGAAAUUCAGUCCAUAUUUUAAUAACUAGGCUGAGAGCCUGUGAGUCUGUCUCCCCAAAGGGACACCGUUUUCUGUUUUAACUAAGAUGAUUUAUAAAACAGUGAUAGUGCUGGCCUCUGA